rfam:Mesorhizobium sp. Root157 contig_12, whole genome shotgun sequence.
GGAGGAGUGCCCGAGUGGUUAAAGGGGACGGACUGUAAAUCCGUUAGCUCAGCUUACGUUGGUUCGAAUCCAACCUCCUCCA